rnacentral:lncRNA from 1 species
GCGGGGCGGCGGCGGCGGCGGCGGCGGCGGCAGGAGGCGCGGCCCGGCCCACGAGGGAAGAAAGAGCGAGCCGGGCCGGGAGACGCGCCGCACCCGGUCCCGCGCCCGCGCUCGGCGGCGCCGGCAGCUCCCUCCGGGGCGACGACGAUGAGCCCGGGCUGCGGGCUUUUUUUUUUUUUUUCCCCUUUCUUUUUUUCCCCCCCCUUCCUCCUCGAGGCGAUGUCCGUCGUGAGCCGACCGCGGGGCUGAGGACGGCGACCCCGAGGACCUCCGCCAGAGACCUGAGAUGUCUGCAAACAAAGGAUAAGUCAGGACGGCUCGUUUAGAACCAGAGAUACAAUUUAUAUGGAUGUGGUUGUCGUUGUUGUUGUUGUUUCCCCCGAAAGAGCAAGUUGUCACGCUCUCAAGUUUUUCCGAAGUCAAAAUAUUCCCUGGAGACAGACGAUUUUUCAUGGGAAAGAGAGGCAGCCUUUUGUCUUUUUCACUUGGAUCCUUCUCGGCACCAGUGCCCUAAGUGACAGCCCCUGGCAGUAAUGAGGCUGCGCGCGCUCCACUAUAAUUGAACCCUGUCAGCGCUGCCCAUUAAGGCCGUGGUGUGCAUGCCAGCUCUUUAAUCCAAAACCCAUUUCUUCUCCUCCAUCAUUUCCCUUUUACUCAUGGCACUGUUUCAAGUCCUGAUCCCCCUCAUUGUGCAUGUAGAGGUUCAGGAAUGGAGAAUAAUUGGUGUUGGUGCACCCCUCUUAAGGAGCAACCCUGUUAAUAAAGACGUGUUCACAUCUGCA